UGGGAACUGUCCUUCACGAGGCAGCUGAGUUGAAAGAAGCUACCAGCACCGGAAGCAGCAACCCCUUUGUGUGCCCAGUGCACAGGAUCAUAGACAACUGAAUAUUCCCAGCUGGCCAGCUAACUGUCAUGAUGUUCUUGCCAGCAUACUCUGCCACAGCAACAGAAAGAAGUAAGCACGGUCUUCAAGAUUUCUCUGCAGCAGAUGAGGAAAUCAAGGCUCGGAGAGACUGAGCGAUUUGCUAAAGACUCCCAGCUAAUGAAUGGUGGAGCUCAGAUUCUAAAGCAUCUGACAGGGAAGCCACUUCGGGCUCGUCUCCACCAUCCUGAUGUUGAACCACACAGUCCUCCUGGCUGCUGGGGUCCUCAUUCCCCAGUAUUCUCCUCUGUCCUCCCCUGAGAAUCCUACCUGGAUGUGGUGAUGAGACAGGCGGAAGAUCUCCUGGGCCAUCAGCAAUGUCUUUGAGUCCAUUACCAGAUACAGCAGAUGCAGGAGGGCAAGGAAGCCUGCCCCUCUCAGGCCUGCUGUCCCAGCACCUGAGACGUAGAGGCAGGAGGAUGA